rnacentral:pre_miRNA from 1 species
GUCUCUGUGUGUACCUGAAGUGAGGUAGUAGGUUGUAUAGUUGAGAACUACAUCUGCCAAGGAGAGCUAACUGUACAACUUGCUAACUUUCUUCGGGUCG